GAUGAACGCUGGCGGCGUGCCUAAUACAUGCAAGUCGAGCGAACGGACGAGAAGCUUGCUUCUCUGAUGUUAGCGGCGGACGGGUGAGUAACACGUGGAUAACCUACCUAUAAGACUGGGAUAACUUCGGGAAACCGGAGCUAAUACCGGAUAAUAUUUUGAACCGCAUGGUUCAAAAGUGAAAGACGGUCUUGCUGUCACUUAUAGAUGGAUCCGCGCUGCAUUAGCUAGUUGGUAAGGUAACGGCUUACCAAGGCAACGAUGCAUAGCCGACCUGAGAGGGUGAUCGGCCACACUGGAACUGAGACACGGUCCAGACUCCUACGGGAGGCAGCAGUAGGGAAUCUUCCGCAAUGGGCGAAAGCCUGACGGAGCAACGCCGCGUGAGUGAUGAAGGUCUUCGGAUCGUAAAACUCUGUCAUUAGGGAAGAACAUAUGUGUAAGUAACUGUGCACAUCUUGACGGUACCUAAUCAGAAGGCCACGGCUAACUACGUG
rnacentral:rRNA from 1 species